CAGGGUACCCUUUGACCCUCCUUAGUUCAACCAAAUGAACUAAAACUUUAGUUCAUUUGGUUGAACUAAGGAGGGUCAAAGGGUAUCCUG
rfam:Brachypodium distachyon strain Bd21 chromosome 1, whole genome shotgun sequence.